GUAUAAUCUCAGCCCCCUCACGUGACCACCUCAGCCAAUCACACGCUAAUGGCGCUUAUAUAAUGCAGCUGCGCUUCUCUCCAGUCAGAGCUGGGAGGAAGCGCAACAGGGCAGCUGCACAGGAGCCACUACCAUUAUCACGGACGCUGAGUAAAGACCGCGGGUUCUGACGCGAACAAGGGGAUUUGGCCAGGUGUGCUCGGGUUGGGCACAAUAUUUGAUGGCGAGCUAGGAGCCCUACCAAGAACUGGAACAUCACAUUCAACUCUACAGCCUUUGCGGUCUGGUAGGAGGCUGUUGCAGCCUGUCCCUCCCAUAGACUCAAACAUUCGCAUUCACAACCUUAACAUAUGGACAAAAGGGGAAAUUUUAUGGACAAUUAAGCCCAUAUCAGUGGCAACCUCAUUUUUUGUUCUAUUGU